GCAAGUCGAGCGCGAAAUUACCUUCGGGUAAGAGUAGAGCGGCGGACGGGUGAGUAACGCGUGGGAAUCUACCCAGUAGCGGGGGACAACAGUUGGAAACGGCUGCUAAUACCGCAUACGCCCUACGGGGGAAAGCAGGGGAUCUUCGGACCUUGUGCUAUUGGAUGAGCCCGCGUGAGAUUAGCUAGUUGGUGGGGUAAAGGCCUACCAAGGCGACGAUCCAUAGCUGGUCUGAGAGGAUGAUC
rnacentral:rRNA from 1 species